rnacentral:rRNA from 1 species
GAUGAACGCUGGCGGCGUGCCUAAUACAUGCAAGUCGAGCGAACAGACGAGGAGCUUGCUCCUCUGACGUUAGCGGCGGACGGGUGAUUAACACGUGGAUAACCUACCUAUAAGACUGGGAUAACUUCGGGAAACCGGAGCUAAUACCGGAUAAUAUAUUGAACCGCAUGGUUCAAUAGUGGAAGACGGUUUUGCUGUCACUUAUAGAUGGAUCCGCGCCGCAUUAGCUAGUUGGUAAGGUAACGGCUUACCAAGGCAACGAUGCGUAGCCGACCUGAGAGGGUGAUCGGCCACACUGGAACUGAGACACGGUCCAGACUCCUACGGGAGGCAGCAGUAGGGAAUCUUCCGCAAUGGGCGAAAGCCUGACGGAGCAACGCCGCGUGAGUGAUGAAGGUCUUCGGAUCGUAAAACUCUGUUAUUAGGGAAGAACAAAUGUGUAAGUAACUAUGCACGUCUUGACGGUACCUAAUCAGAAAGCCACGGCUAACUACGUG